rnacentral:rRNA from 1 species
GAAAGGCCCCUUCGGGGGUACUCGAGCGGCGAACGGGUGACCUAUUUACGUGAGCAACCUGCCCCUGACUCUGGGAUAAGCCCGGCCAUUUUGGGUCUAAUACCGGAUAUGACCACUGGUCGCAUGAUCGUGUGGUGGAAAGUUUUUCGGUUGGGGAUGGGCUCGCGGCCUAUCAGCUUGUUGGUGGGGUGAUGGCCUACCAAGGCGACGACGGGUAACCGGCCUGAGAGGGCGACCGGUCACACUGGGACUGAGACACGGCCCAGACUCCUACGGGAGGCAGCAGUGGGGAAUAUUGCGCAAUGGGCGGAAGCCUGACGCAGCGACGCCGCGUGAGGGAUGACGGCCUUCGGGUUGUAAACCUCUUUCAGCAGGGACGAAGCUAACGUGACGGUACCUGCAGAAGAAGCGCCGGCUAACUACGUGCCAGCAGCCGCGGUAAUACGUAGGGCGCAAGCGUUGUCCGGAAUUAUUGGGCGUAAAGAGCUCGUAGGCGGUUUGUCGCGUCUGUCGUGAAAGCCCACGGCUUAACCGUGGGUCUGCGGUGGAUACGGGCAGACUAGAGGCAGGUAGGGGAGAACGGAAUUCCCGGUGUAGCGGU